CCCGCGCCUUCUAUCCCUGCAGAUUGAGCUCUGGCCUUCACCCCGGGCCUCUUAACUUCAGGUCCGCCCAAGUGCCCUCCUCUCAGCAGGCGGAGGCUCACAGCUCUGUCGGGAGUAGGGAGGGCUGACCGCAUUGUGGUGCAAAGUGACAAGUCGAGUGUUGACUUGGGGACUGCGAUGACCGGCCACCAGGAAGGGAACCAGGUAUGCUCUGGGGUCCCGGGCGGCGCCCUGGCAGCGGACGUUCCCGCAGGUAGUGCGCGACUUUUGCCCCAGGAAGAAGUCGCUGCUGCCUGCAGGGUGGCCUUGGAGAGGCUCGGGCCUCCAUUGAGACUGCUCACUUCCUUUUCUCCGGGACCACGGCUCUUCAGCUUUUUCCGCCCUAGGCUCCCGCGCCUCCUCAGUUCCCCAUGGGAGAGUUAUUUGAAGGCUCCCCGGAGAUGGGAUUUGGCCCACCAAUCCUAGCAAGUCAAGGCCCGCCCGGCUAGGCGCAGAGAGGCGGCCUCCCUCCCGCUACCCCGGGUGGGGUAGGGACCCCCUUUCCCCAGAGACCCUCUAGCACCUGAGUGUUGAUGAUCAUUACUUUAAAUUAAAAGUCUCUUUUCUCCUUUC
ensembl:lncRNA LINC01956 long intergenic non-protein coding RNA 1956